CCUACGGGUGGCAGCGGUGAGGAAUAUUGGUCAAUGGCCGGAAGGCUGAACCAGCCAUGCCGCGUGAAGGUCAGUGCCCUAUGGGCGUUAAACUUCUUUUGUGCGGGAGCAAUAAUGGUCACGUGUGGCCAGACGAGAGUACCGUACGAAUAAGCAUCGGCUAACUCCGGGCCAGCAGCCGCGGUAAUACGGGGGAUGCAAGUGUUAUCCGGAUUUAAUGGGUUUAAAGGGUGCGUAGGCUGUGAGGUAAGUCAGCGGUGAAAUGCCCCCGCUCAACGGGGGGAAGUGCCAUUGAUACUGCCUGGCUGGAAUGCGGAUGCCGUGGGAGGAAUGUGUGGUGUAGCGGUGAAAUGCAUAGAGAUCACACAGAACACCGAUUGCGAAGGCAUCUCACGAAUCCACGAUUGACGCUGAUGCACGAAAGCGUGGGUAUCAAACAGGAUUAGAUACCCCAGUAGUC
rnacentral:rRNA from 1 species